AAGAGCUCACAUCAGUUCAGCUUCAACAUCAACCAUGUUCUCUGUAGCUCUGAUACUGCUGCUGGCAGCUGGAUCCUGUGUGAACAGUAUUGAUCUCAUCCAGCCAGACUCAAUGGUUGUGCAGCCUGGAGAGUCUUUGACCGUCACCUGUCAGGUCUCUGGUUAUUCUCUGACUGAUAACAGCUAUGCAACAGGUUGGAUCAGACAGCGUGAAGGAAAACCCAUGGACUGGAUUUUACAUCGGAAUCUGACCUGGACAGUCUUUGACCAUCACCUGUCAGGUCUCUGGUUAUUCUCUGACCGAACAGUGUCUCUAAAAGGACAGAAUCUGCAGCCUGAGGACACAGCUGUGUAUUACUGUGUACGUCAGCCCACAGUGAUACAAACCACCAACAGACCUGCACAAAUACCCAGCAACCAUGUGACUCAACCACACACAUGUGAACAUUAAUGAAGACAUUACUCUCUGAUGAGCUGAUCAUGUCGAUGAAUGUUUAUGGAAUUCACUGAAUGGUGGAGGACAUUUUUUGUCACUGAGAGACAGAGGAAGAUGAGGCUGAGACAAAGAUGCACUUCCUCUACAAUGUACAGCAUUCAAUGAAAUAAGGAACGUUUACUUUAACAAGUUCAACUCUGUAAUCUCAGAUUUCAAAUUCAAUAAAGGACCUCUCAAAAUUAAAAAUGAUCUGCCCAAUAUGUAUCUACAUGCC